GGGUAAAUGUCUGAGUGGUUUAAAGUCCCGGUCUUGAAAACCGGCAUACUGAAAAGUAUCGAAGGUUCGAAUCCUUCUUUACCCG
rnacentral:tRNA from 1 species